GGUUGACCUCGGAUCAGGUAGGGAUACCCGCUGAACUUAAGCAUAUCAUU
rnacentral:rRNA from 1 species